rnacentral:sRNA from 1 species
CGGGGAUCCUGGGGAGCUGUGGCUCAGACCUCUGGUUUCUGCGCCUCCUCACUCUCCAAACCCAACCUCGAGGUUCCCCCGCCGCUGCGCACCCUGGGAAGCCCCUUCUCACCAGGAGCUCUCACCCCAAUAUCAUUCUCUCCCUCCUCCUCCAACUCCUCCGAGCCCAGGUCCGACAUAGUCUCGCCCCAGCCUGGAUCACAGCCGCAGCGCCUCUAGCAGGCUCUGCUGACCCUUUGGGAUUCGCGGCUAGCUGUGAUGUGUCCGCCAAGAUCUCUUCUCUUGUCUGUAAACAACUUCACUCUCAAGGAGGCAGCUCUGGCCUCUCAGCAGGUGCGGCCUACACUGAUGUCCGUCCGGGUUUUACAUCCUUACCCGACCUCGACAUGAGUCCCAGCCCCCUCGGGCCUCUGACUCUCAGGUGUCCCCUACGAUCACCUGUCCUCUCCUCUCGCUCCUGGCUCCCCUCCACUGUCACACACCCACACAAUCACAGACGCACACGCAUGUACACGUGCAGGCUUGGAAAUCUGCUUUACCUGACGCACUCCGCCUGCCGAAGGCCCCUCACGAUCUCCCGUUUCCUCUGCCAUCAUCCCAGUCUGCAAAGCUGUGUUAUUUGUUGUUGCUGCAGGAGCUGGGGAGGAGUGACUGAAUAACUAUAGGAUUUGGUCUUGAUGGGAGAAUCCCAGAAGCCAAAUCCACGCGGUGAAUAAGCUGUUGAUCUUCCAGAGCACACAUCCCCUAGAGAUUCUUCCCAAUGCUAAUAUGAAAGGUUACAACCAUAACCCAUCAUCAGGCCCAAAUAUAUUACUUACUGAAUAAAUACACAAGUUACAACAACACACAAGAUUCCAAAAUUAUGUCGUUUUUUAGAUGCAAAGAUAAAAAUGUUGUAAACACCAAAAUUUAACAGCUUUUCUUAUGGGGAAAAGUGGGGAGUUAGGGAUAACAGAUGAUUAUUAUUUUCUUCUCUACAUAUUGGCAGUUACCCAGUUACUACAAUUAAGCAUGUCCUAUUUUUAUAAUAAAAUGCCGGAAGCAUUUUAAAUGUUAGAAAUCUAGAAUGGUAACAUAAGUAUAUGCAAAUAAAUACUCAUUUUUUACAUUUAAAAUGUCAGAAAUUUAGCUUUCAAAUUUGUCCUAACAAUGACAGUAACCAGUGUUUACUAAGUUCUGACAGUGUGUGUGGGCACUGUUUUAAGAAUUUUAUAUGAGUUAUCUUAUUAAAUCCUCACUAUCAUUCCUCCAUUGAACAUCUAAGGAAAGGGAGUUAUAGGGGGGUAUAAACUAAAAAUAACCUCCUAAGCCCCACCACAGCCAACUGAAUGGACCCCCUCUUGGCCAAGAGGGCCCCAGAAACCUUAAAAACUGAGUUCUCAGCCAUGAUGGGAAGGGAGGUCAAACAUGCCUCACUAAUACCCUUUUGCAGUUUAGACACAACAACUAACAAGCAUUAAUGUUAAAAUAGAGAUCAUAAGACUGACAGAAUGGACGCUGUGGCAGUAAGAUACCAACUUAUAAACAGCACCUAAGGCCAUGCCAGGCAUGAGUUAAGUCAUGCAUCCCUACACUUAAAAGAAUAAACUAUAUUUUAACUACCUGGAG